rnacentral:rRNA from 1 species
UACGAAGGGGGCUAGCGUUGUCCGGAUUGACUGGGCGUAAAGCGCACGCAGGCGGCCCGGCGCGUGGGGUGUGAAAGCUGGCGGCUUAACUGCCAGACGCCAUCCCAUACGGCUGGGCUCGAGCCCUGCAGAGGUCCAUGGAAUUGCCGGUGUAGUGGUGAAAUGCGUAGAGAUCGGCAGGAACACCCAGGGGGAAACCAGUGGACUGGGCAGGAGCUGACGCUCAGGUGCGAAAGCGUGGGGAGCGAACCGG